CGUGGGUAACCUGCCCAAGAGACUGGGAUAACACCUGGAAACAGAUGCUAAUACCGGAUAACAACACUAGACGCAUGUCUAGAGUUUAAAAGAUGGUUCUGCUAUCACUCUUGGAUGGACCUGCGGUGCAUUAGCUAGUUGGUAAGGUAACGGCUUACCAAGGCAAUGAUGCAUAGCCGAGUUGAGAGACUGAUCGGCCACAUUGGGGCUGAGACACGGCCCAAACUCCUACGGGAGGCAGCAG
rnacentral:rRNA from 1 species